UAAAGACUCAUUCCAUUCAUCAUUGUUUGGAAAUAAAAUCAUUCUUGCAAACCAAAGGCAUUAGGUAUAAGCCCAAACUAUUAUAUAAAGUAUCAUCAAUUAAUUAGCAUUUUGCGACGAAAAGAUGCAGGCUUAAACUACUCAAUGAAAUUUCUACACUCCACAGAUCAAUAAAAGACUAACUGCUGAGAACAAGCAAAAGGAUGAAAUUUAUUUUAUCUUUUUUUCUUUAAUUUAAGUUUAAAA